rnacentral:rRNA from 1 species
ACCUCGACACUAGGAGGCAGCAGUGGGGAAUAUUGCACAAUGGGGGAAACCCUGAUGCAGCGACGCCGCGUGGAGGAAGAAGGUCUUCGGAUUGUAAACUCCUGUUGUUGGGGAAAAAGAGGAUGGUACCCAACAAGGAAGUGACGGCUAACUACGUACAGCAGCCGCGGUAAUCUGAGCGGGCUGGCAAGGC